rnacentral:rRNA from 1 species
AACGAACGCUGGCGGCAGGCUUAACACAUGCAAGUCGAACGCACCGCAAGGUGAGUGGCAGACGGGUGAGUAACACGUGAGGAUCUGCCCAAUGGUACGGAAUAGCUCCGGGAAACUGGAAUUAAUACCGUAUGAGCCCGCAAGGGGAAAGAUUUAUCGCCAUUGGAUGAACCCGCGUCGGAUUAGCUAGUUGGUGUGGUAAAGGCGCACCAAGGCGACGAUCCGUAGCUGGUCUGAGAGGAUGAUCAGCCACACUGGGACUGAGACACGGCCCAGACUCCUACGGGAGGCAGCAGUGGGGAAUAUUGGACAAUGGGCGCAAGCCUGAUCCAGCCAUGCCGCGUGAGUGAUGAAGGCCUUAGGGUUGUAAAGCUCUUUCGCCGACGAAGAUAAUGACGGUAGUCGGAGAAGAAGCCCCGGCUAACUUCGUGCCAGCCGCCGCAGUAAGAC